AGUAAACCGUAUAGCUUCAGUUUAGCAAGUGCAGGCGCGGAGCAGUUUCAGCAUAUCUGACAACAUUUCUUCCAUUCAAGUUAGGUCAGUUUCUCCUGCGAUGUCAUUGGCUGAUCGGAAAUGUGGACUACGAGUCAUCCUCUGCUGGUACCCGCAUAACACAGAAUGAUUACCGACCUCAUCCGAAGAGUUCAUGUUGAAAACUGCUGAACCGUGAUGUUGCUUAAAUAAAGAGCAAAUGCUCUGUGCUUACUA